CCAUUCGUCGAAGCCCUGCCAAGUGGGUUUGCAGUCCAAUAGGCUAUUUCCUCUCUGCCUGUUUCUACUUUCUCUUUUCGUAAAAACAAAGGGAUGGAAGGGAGUUCUGUUUUCUCUUUUUCCCACUAGGGUUUCCUUUCUCCUUUGGGAAAGAAAAAUGUUUUCAUCUUAAAGUCUUGCAUGUGGAGAUGAGGUUAUGUAAUGCAGCCAAGGAUGACUUGCCGGCAACUCUUAGAUAUCAUAAUAUACAUGUAUAUAUACAUGCUCAUGAUUAGGGUUGAUCGGCAAGUCAUCUCUGGCUAUAUAACUGCCUCCUUUUCUCAUGCUAGAUUUAUGAUGAUAAUCUCAGUGGUUAUGAUGGUGGUGAUGGAUCCAUGUGGCUCAUCAAUAGCUCUUCUGCGUGUGUUGUCAGGUUCAGGUUGCAGCUAGCUUCUCACCAUAUCUCAGCUUCAGGCUGCCUGAAAGAACAAUAUAUAUAUAUAUUUUAUAUAUAUAUAUAUAUAUAUAUAUAUAUUCACACUAUAUAUUUAAGUUAAUUCUGCAUUAAAAUAUCCUUCAAAAUAUGGGAAUUGGAAGAUUUUGACAAACUAUGCUUUAAUUGCAAAUGAGAUUAGCCUUGAUGGAUCUUUAUUUUUUUAACAGAUAUUUCAGAUUUUGACAAACUAUGCUUUAAUUGCAAAUGAGAUUAGCCUUGAUGGAUCUUUAUUUUUUUAACAGAUAUUUCCACCAUCUUCCAGAUCGAGCCUGACUUUCCAUGUGAUCUUUCUUUGCUUAAAAAUCUCAAUGCCUUUUUCUCAAUUUAAUUUCACAGGAAUGUCCAUAUUAAAUGCGGAUAUAUUUUUCUCAAUUGUCGUCAGCAUACGUGUUACUGUGUACACGUGUAGCUGUGUCAUGUGGUACUGUAAUUCUUUCUAGAUUUAAUACGGAUAUUUUGCAUGGAAAACAUGGCGAAUUGCUUGCUAAUAUAGCCUGCUGAGGAAAUAAUCGAUUUUUUUUUUUUUUAAGGGGUUAUUUAAUCUUACGAAUCGAAAAUUAUUAGUUGGAAUUUUUUUUAAAAAAAAUUUGUGUGCACAUGUUAAAAAAAAGAAAGAAAUAAUUGAAUUUUAAGUAUUAUUUGCUAGCAAAUUUUUAAUAAAUGGCAUUUUUAAGCUGUUUAAUACAAAAAAAUAAUAAUUUGAAUUAAAGUCAUUUUAAAUUCUAUUAUAUAUAUGAAAUUUACAAUGAAAAACAGUAAGGGUUUUUUUUUAAUUUUUUUUUUUAUAAGUUUUAUGUAGAUAUCAUUAUUAUUUUUUUUAGUAAAUUAACCCAUAUUUUUCUUAAUUUUUAAAAAAUAAUAUAUAUCUUAGCAUUUCUCAUUUACAAAGGAUCUUAAUACGCAGCAUUCGCAAUAGAUAAGUUCAAAUUUGAUAUUCGCGUAAUAGUGACUGCUAUAUUUAUAUAUAUAUAUAUAUAGCCUGAAGCCCUAUAAUAACUCAGACCUAGCAAUAAUUCAGUACAAGAUAGUUAAUUCUACUCUCAGCAAUUACUGAAUUUGUAAAUAUACGUUAGGAAGACUCACAUCACAUGUCAUGUUUAAGGGGCUUCCAAAGAAGUCUUCAUUAUAUAUUAUAUAAUCAACAAGAUUCAACUGUUCAGAUAUUUUUUAUGUUUAUCUAACGUAUUAUUUAUCAUCCAUCCAUGCAUCUUUAUCUUUGCCCUAAUGCGGAAAGAAGCUGCCAUAUCGGUACUGGUGCAUGUUCAUCGUCUCCGCCAAUUGUGAAAGGGACCACUAUUAUCCAAUACUGUCGAGGAUAUCCUAUCUCGACAAAAUCCCAUACAAUUGAAUUCAAAUGCAGAUCAGUCACAAGAUUCAGAUAAAGCUUCACCCAAUAGAUCUAUAUGAGGAUAACAUUAUCCAUAUUCAUAUUUGUAGAUAUUUCAAACCUUGUAGCACAUGGGUCAUGUCUUUAUAAACCUUACUUCACAUGAUACAGCCAGUACCAAUUUCCAGCAUUUUUAAGGGUGGUUUUUUUUUUUUUUUAAUUUUUUUUUAUUUACCUGUUUUUAGUGGACUGGUUUUAUUUAAAAAAUUAUAUCUUGUGAUUCCAACAUCAUAUGGAGACAAAUUUAGAGUCGAAAUGCUUAUUCAGAGAGCUAUAAUUUUGUAAUUCUAAUGUUUACUUGGUGAAGAUUGUCUAUCUGUAUUCUGUUUACAACAUGGUAUUUUAUUUUAUAUUUUUU